rnacentral:rRNA from 1 species
GCUUGUCUCAAAGAUUAAGCCAUGCAUGUCUAAGUGUAAAUAAGUCUAUACUGUGAAACUGCGAAUGGCUCAUUAAAUCAGUUAUCGUUUAUUUGAUGAUCUCUUACUACUUGGAUAACCGUAGUAAUUCUAGAGCUAAUACAUGCACAAAAUCCCGACUUACGAAGGGAUGUAUUUAUUAGAUACAAACCAACAUCGUGGUGAUUCAUAAUAACUUUCAGAUCGAUCGCAAGAUCGAUGCAUCAUUCAAGUUUCUGCCCUAUCAGCUUUGGAUGGUAGGAUAUGGGCCUACCAUGGCAUUAACGGGUAACGGGGAAUUAGGGUUUGAUUCCGGAGAGGGAGCCUUAGAAACGGCUACCACAUCCAAGGAAGGCAGCAGG